UUUGAAGCCCAUUCUAAGGUUGAAAAAUGUUGAGAAGCCCCUCCAAUUAGAUAUGAAUCAUAUGAUUAACACAAAUAUUGAAAUUAUCUUCUGGAGCAGGAACUGGUGCCUUCAACUCGUGACAUUCCCUACGAGUUUGUUGCUGAAGAAAAUUCUAUUCCACUUCAGAGAGUCAGAUAUUGUAGGCACUGCAAGGCAUAUGUAAAGGGGUUCGACCAUCAUUGUCCUACUUUUGGAAACUGUAUAGAUUGGAGAUGAACGAAUUUGGUAACCUGCAUAGCAAGAGUUUUUUGUUGAUAUUACCAGACACAUCCAUCACAGUGUAGUUGUACUUUUUGUUGAUAUUACCAAACAUGUAUUUUGACUAUGUUGUUGUGGGUUAUGAUUAUAUUGUGAUGGAUCUUAUUUUUUUGUCGAUAUUUUAUUGAAUAGAUUAAAAUGAACAGGUUUUUGUUGAUAUUACCAAAUGAACAGGUUUUUGUAAUGAUUUGUAAUGGAUAUUAUAUUCA